rnacentral:lncRNA from 1 species
GCAACCGCAACUUCCUUAUUUUUCCUCUUCUUAUUGUCUUUAGAAGAGGAUGCCAAAUGAGCACUUUCUGUCUUAUCUUGCUUUAUUCUCUUUUCCUCUUGCACACAAUGUGAAAUGAGCUCAUUAAGAGUCCAUUUCUCCUUCAUGCAGUUGUAACUGACCUUAAACUGAUUAAAGUGUGCAGGAAGAGAGAUCAAAAUUAAGUACAGAAGCAGUUCCUCAGGUAAUUCUAACUUGAGUGACUUUAG